UCCUGGUUAGUUCAGUUGGUAGAGCCCUCCACUGGCAAUAGAGAGGACCCUGGUUCGAUGCCAGGACGAGGCA
rnacentral:tRNA from 1 species